UACGGAGGGGGCUAGCGUUGUUCGGAAUUACUGGGCGUAAAGCGCGCGUAGGCGGUUCGUUAAGUCUGAUGUGAAAGCCCUGGGCUCAACCUGGGAAUUGCAUUGGAUACUGGCGGGCUAGAGUACGGUAGAGGGUGGCGGAAUUCCUGGUGUAGCAGUGAAAUGCGUAGAUAUCAGGAGGAACAUCCGUGGCGAAGGCGGCCACCUGGACCAGUACUGACACUGAGGCACGAAAGCGUGGGGAGCAAACAGG
rnacentral:rRNA from 1 species